rnacentral:lncRNA from 1 species
CGCGGGCGGGGCCCGCCCCAAAGCCUCUUAAGCUCCUCCGGAGGCUGCCGGGAGCCACGGGGGAGUUUCUGCGGUUGUGGAUAGGAGACGGAGUGAGUUCUGUUUCUUUGUCGGGCCCUGACGCUGCUGAGGCUGAGAAGCGGCUGCUGUGAGACCUUUCGCGGUAAGGACCAGCCCAAACAGCGGGUGCUUCAGUUCUUCAGGCUCUCCUCGGUAGGAGCGAACGCGAUGGGGCCGUAUUCGUGCAGCCUCUGUGCUGCCGGGAGAGGGAAGCGAAGCGAAGGGUUGUUGAAACAAAAGGUUUCUCGUGUUGCAGGCUGAGCGAGGGCUGCAGCAGAGGCUCUCAUCGGCCCGAAGCAGUGAGCUCGUGGAAGCGGUGAGUGUUUGAGAGUCGCUCGGUAAGAUCUCUCGUGUUGGGGCUCCUGUAGGGUUGCUGCUCGACUGCCUCUGUCUUUGGGAUCGGCACGGCGCCGCCGCUGGGCUCCCGUGUGGCUUUUUAGUAGGACCGGCACGGGGCCUCCGCCCGAGACCGAGCACGAUCCCGGGGUGGCCUCGGCCACUGCGGAGUGUUUUGCGGGUGCUCUCACCCAUCCCGUUUCCAGCGGUGGGAGCGAGCAGGUUGGGACCGUGGUUUUUUUUUUUCCCGCCUCUUCCUUCCCGUGUAACUGCAGGAGCACGAUUUAGGUUCCCAUCGUGGAGACCUGGCAGGGCAGCUCGCACGACUGGAGUGCUGUCGUGGAUGGCUCUGUUCUUUUUAGGAAAGACAGACCGGCCAGGCGGUGGAGUCUCUCUUCGAGGGAGAGAACGGGAACGUAUCGAGCUCCACCUAGGGGUGAAUGAAGAACCAGCGGAGCGUUUGUGCGUGAGGCUGAAGAGGCAGGUAAAAGUGGGUAACAUGAGUGGUGGUGUUGGUCACAGACCAGGGUGAGGAAGCUGAUAGACCUUCUGCACACAGCUGGAAAUGGUGCCCACAGCUGUGAGGCUAGUUCUCAUGGUAGGCUCCAGGAGUUUCCUGCAAUGUGUCAAAGGUAAGAUCUUCUGACACAGGUGAUGAAGGAGGCAUUGAGGAGAGGGGCUGCUGGAGCUCCCUAUUGCAGAAGAGCCAUUUGGGGACAGGAAGGCCAGGGGCAGCCUGGAGCGUGCCAGUCGUGAGACCACAGUGUUUGGGAUCUUGUGUGGAAGCUGCAAAGCAAUGAGUAGGAUUGAAACACUGGACUUGGAGGGAGCCAAGUUUGUCCUCUUGAAGGGCCUACUUGGAGGUAACCCUUGCUCAAGCAUAGGAAGGGGUCCUGUGAAUGCUGGAGCAUUACUUCGUCCAUGCUGAGGUGCGCUGCGUCCCAAGGAGGAAGGAACUGCGCCGGAAUGGUGGGGGACCUGCAGGGCUGACUGAGGAACUUGAAGGGGAGAAGGAAGAGAGAGGCUGAGGAAGGCCAAGUCCCUCUGAGUAUCAGCUUUGGGAGGGAGGUCAAGGCUAAUGGAAGUUUGUCAACAGGAGAGACUGGAGAAAUUGCAGGCCUGUGCUUUACAAGGCGGAGGCCUCUUGGGUUUCAGUGGUUUCUGCUGAGAGUGCUCCUGGGGAACCUGGGGUCCUGGAGGAGAGAGUCCCUGAGGAAGGAUGUCUUCCCCUCAGUUGCGGAGGAGCUGGUCAAAGGUAGUUCAGGCAGAAAGGAGGCCAGCAAAUCUCUGAGCUGUAGAGGGCUAUGUCUGUGCCCGCUGAGAGCUGGCAGCGGUGACUGGCAAUAGCUCUCUGUCACUUUUUCCCUGCUGUUUCCUGUGGGAAAGGUACCUGAAGACUGGAGGAUGGCGGAUGCCACCGCAGCCUUCAGAAAGGGUGUGGAGGAUGGCGUGUGCAACUUGGAGGUAGGUUGGCCUCAUGUCUGUUCCUGGGGAGGUGACGCAACAGCUUGUUGCAGGUGUCAUUGCCAUGUGACUGGAGGAGAAGGUAUUUGCAAGGAGCAGUCCAGGUGGAUGGACAGAGGAGAAGUCAUGCCGGACCAAAAGGUAGCUUUGUGCGUUGUCUUGAUUGUGCAGUUAGAGGAGAGGAGGGUGGCAGAUAGCAAUGCCUGCUGUGCAGGAGCCCAGUUGACGGGGAUGAGUGGCGUGUGUGUGGCAGUAGGGGGGCAGUGUGCAUGUUUGGUAUCACCAGAAUUUCUCAUUCAAGAGGAAGAAGAAUGAUUUCCCUGUGAGCGGGAUGGGAGAGGAGUGCCUGGGGAGGUUGUGGAGUCCGGUUCCCUGGGCCCCGUUCCAGUUGCGUGUGGGUGCUUUGCAGUGGGGCCUUGGCAUUCUGUCUGGCUGUGUGAUCUGUGCUCUUGUUGCAGGGUGAAGGCUGCAGAGAGGAUUGGCUGGAGCAGGUGUGCAGUUUUCCCAGUGGUGGGAUGAAGGAGGUGAGAGAGGGGGAGCCCCAGGCGGGAGCCCUCGUGGUGGAGGGCUGCCCCCAGGAGCGCCCCCUUGGAGGUGGUUGAUGGAGGUCUCUGUGCAGGUUCAGGCUGGAGGCAGGAUCCUGGUGGUGUGAGUGGGGCGCCCCUGUGGAGCAAGGGUGGAAGGUGUGUGGCAGGUCCUGUCCCGGAGGAGUGGAGUUAAGGGUCCUGGCGUGGCUGUUUUCCUGCAUGGAAGAUGGAGAUCCUGGGAGCUGUGAUGAGGAGGAGCAGAGCCAGCAGCUGAAUUUCUGCACGGCAGCCUUUCUCGAAUGCAGUAGGGCUUCCCUGGCUUGAAGAUGGGUGUGCUGUCCUGAGGGAGGAGCAGUGUUGACUGUCUUACAGUGACCUUCUGCUUUCCUUUAAGAAGAGUCCACUAAGAACUGUAUUGGGUUUUUCAGUAGGAGGCUGUCACUGGAACACACAGGAACAGUCAGAGCAAUUACUGAAUUGGACUGUCUGAGCUGAAAGUUGAUGGUGCAUCCCUCUGGUAGAGGGAAUGCAAAAAAGAGAGGUCUUGAAUCAGUAGUGAGUUUAUUGCUGAAGAGCAAAGAUUCGUAUCUCACCCUAAGCUGGGUGUUUUUCACUGCCACACGCCCAGUCAUUUCACUAUACCCAUGUUCUGCCUGGUACCACUCUGACUACCUUCUACCACUAACAACCAGAAUGGCUGAGCAAGGAGUACUGUUUGCAGCUAGGAAGCCAAAAACAGCCAAAAACCCUUCUGUUGCUUCCUUCUGUGUUCUGUGGGGGUGCACAGUCAGAAGAGAGCUUCCACCAUGCAUACCAGUCCUUAUAAAGUAUCUUUCCUUAUGAACACCAGUACGGACUCCCUUUCACUGUCUCUUUUAGCUGGAGACCUGGGCUGUGCAUCUGUGUUCCUCCAUCUACAAUGAGAAGAAAGGGUUUGUUUUUUUUAAUUUCAUUGUUGUAACAAAUAAAAAUCAAGGGAGCUUGGCAACUGUGUUUGACUGUGAGUGGUUCUAGAAGUCUGACCUUUAUUCUUCUGUCAUUCAUAUUGAACACUGAUCCCUAGGUGCACAGUGCAUGAGGAAGCUCUAACCUUCUCCAGUUUCUACACUCACUUGAAGUAAUUAUGGCCAUAGUCAUUUCCCUUCCACAUCAACAUUGGUUACUGUACUGAGCAGAUAAAUCCCUUCCCCCAAACCUAUGAGGCUGCAUGACAAACCAUGGGGACUCCAUGUGGAAAUAACAGUAAAAAAAAGCCAUCCAGGGCUAAGAGGAGGUCUUUCAAACUUGAUGUGAUAUGUCUGUUCCUCAGGGGUUCAUAUGGUCUCGUGUACUUGACACUGCAAAAAAACAGUAGCAGAAGCAGUGAAACUAGGGAAAGAGGAAGGUUUCAGAUAUCACCUUGUAAAGCUCAUUGCUCACAGCAUAAGCUCUUCAGACUACCUCGACACACGGGCCUUGGAGAAGUCAGGCACAAGCGCUUAUCCUUCUAAAUGCCUUUCCCAAGAGCUGAGACCCCACAAACUUCACACGCCUAGCAAAAGCGCACAGGAAUGGGUCUCCAAGGAGGAAAAGCGAGCUCGCCUGUCAGUACUGCCAGGGAAGACAGUGGUGGAGACUGUUGGGCUGAUGUCCUCUUGUGUUGUUUUUAAUGCUAGUCCGCUAAAGUAGGAUGAUCAAAC